CCUUGAGCUAAAACUUUAGAGACUUGUGUAACCGGGUGGUAACACGUGUAUUUUAGUUACUGGACUUGUUGUGUAUGUUCCACUUUUGGACAGCAGAGGGCGUAGUUUUGCUGUUCAGAUGGCGCCAAUUUCACGUCUUGAACAUAGAGGAUUAUGGGAAAAUCCCGGAAGACAGGAGAAAAAGGGGGUAGACUGCACGUUGCAUCGGUGAGAAUUUCUUGUGUUCUGUAUCUGGAAUUAUCUUAGCCAGAUGAUAUUUUUGUGUUUUGAACAGUGGUUAAAAGUGUGUUUUACAGACACCAAGAAAGCCUUAUGUUUUGUUCUGUUUUGAUAGGUGUCUUGAAUGGUGAAAUUUGAGAACGUUGUUUCUGUUGGCUUCAGGGACAUGUGUCCAUUUGGUGCCACUGUCGUAUUCUUCUUGUUAACUUUUUAAGUUUGAAUGUUUAUUUAGUUUUUUUUAAACUGCCAAACAGGGAAAAUAAAGGAUCCCACUAUAAAUUAUUUGAAGCUUGUGUGUCAUUAAAUCCGGCUUCAC